rnacentral:misc_RNA from 1 species
AACGCACAUUGCGCCCGCCAGUAUUCUGGCGGGCAUGCCUGUCCGAGCGUCAUUUCAACCCUCGAACCCCUCCGGGGGUCCGGCGUUGGGGAUCGGCCCUUUACCGGCCGGCCCCGAAAUACAGUGGCGGUCUCGCCGCAGCCUCUCCUGCGCAGUAGUUUGCACACUCGCAUCGGGAGCGCGGCGCGUCCACGUCCGUAAAACACCCAACUUUCUGAAAUGUUGACCUCGGAUCAGGUAGGAAUACCCGCUGAACUUAA